rnacentral:rRNA from 1 species
CUACGUGCCAGCAGCCGCGGUAAUACGUAUGUCACAAGCGUUAUCCGGAUUUAUUGGGCGUAAAGCGCGUCUAGGUGGUUAUGUAAGUCUGAUGUGAAAAUGCAGGGCUCAACUCUGUAUUGCGUUGGAAACUGUAUGACUAGAGUACUGGAGAGGUAAGCGGAACUACAAGUGUAGAGGUGAAAUUCGUAGAUAUUUGUAGGAAUGCCGAUGGGGAAGCCAGCUUACUGGACAGAUACUGACGCUAAAGCGCGAAAGCGUGGGUAGCAAACAGGAUUAGAUACCCUGGUAGUCCACGCCGUAAACGAUGAUUACUAGGUGUUGGGGGUCGAACCUCAGCGCCCAAGCUAACGCGAUAAGUAAUCCGCCUGGGGAGUACGUACGCAAGUAUGAAACUCAAAGGAAUUGACGGGGACCCGCACAAGCGGUGGAGCAUGUGGUUUAAUUCGACGCAACGCGAGGAACCUUACCAGCGUUUGACA